UACGGAGGGGGCUAGCGUUGUUCGGAAUUACUGGCGUAAAGCGCGCGUAGGCGGACCUGCAAGUCGGGGGUGAAAGCCCGAGGCUCAACCUCGGAACUGCCUUCGAUACUGCGGGUCUCGAGUCCGGGAGAGGUGAGUGGAAUUCCUAGUGUAGAGGUGAAAUUCGUAGAUAUUCGCAAGAACACCAGUGGCGAAGGCGGCUCACUGGCCCGAUACUGACGCUGAGGCACGAAAGCGUGGGGAGCAAACAGG
rnacentral:rRNA from 1 species